rnacentral:lncRNA from 1 species
GGAGGUGGGCGCAGAGGGCUCCCUACCAGCUUUGGUCUCGAUGCUGCUCUCGAUGGAAAUGCAGUUGGCGCCCGUGUAUCCCGGGGGACACACACAUUGGCCGUUGACCCAAGUGCCUCCAUUUUCGCAUUGCCCUGGAAAAGACAGUGUGAGAUGGGACUGGGAGGUGUGGGGUGAGGAAGCUGUUCUGGGUGCAGCUAAGGGUGGGAGGGGUGGUACCUGGGGUGGUGGUGGUGGUUGGGCUCGUGGUGGUCCUGGUGGUAGUAGUGGUGGUAGUUGCACGUGUGGUGGUGGUGGUCGUUGUCUUGAUGGUGGUCGUUGUGGUGGUAAUGGUGGUGGUUGGGUGCAUGGUGGCUGUGGUUGUUGAGUGGGUGGUGGAGGUGGGGAGUGUGACGGUGGCAUUGGUUGGCUGAGCAGAGGUGGUGCUCAUGGUGGAGAGCACGGUGGUCCUGGUGUUUGGCUGGGUGGUGCUUGGCUGGCUGGUGGUAGUGGGGAGCGUGGUGGUUGGCAGAGUGGUGGUGGUCUUGGAGAGCAUGGUAGUGCUGGUGGUGAGGAGAGUGGUGGUGCUGCUUGGCUGGUUGUUAGUGGUAGUGGCUGUUUGUCUGGUGGUGCUGCUGAUCAUGGACGUGGUAGUGCCAGUGAUCGUGGGAGCAGUGGCGCUGGUGCUUGUGGUAGCAGCAGUGCUGGUGCUCAAGGGAGAUGGAGUUAUUGUACUCAUGAGUUCAGACGCCUCAGUGCUUGUGGUAGCAGUGGUGCUGGUGCUGGUGGGAGCAGUGGUGCUGGUGCUAAUGGCAAUAGCGGCGCUCGUGGGAACAGUGGUGCUGGUGCUCAUGGCAAUAGCGGUGCUCACGGGAGCAGUGGUGCUGGUGCUGCUCGUAGGUCCUGUUGUCUCAGUGCUGAUUGGAGCAGUGGUGCUGGUGCUCAUGGGAGAAGUUGUGCUGCUAGUCACGGGAGCAGUGGUUUUGGUGCUUGUGCUAGCAGUGGAGCUAGUGCUUAAGUGAGAAGUAGCUAUUGUACUCGUUUGUCCGGACAUCUCACUGUUUGUGGUAGCAGUGGUGCUGGUGCUAGUGGGAGUAGUGGUGCUGCUGCUCGUGGGAGCAGUGGUGCUAGUGCUCGUAGGUCCUGUUGUCUCAGUGCUGAUUGGAGCAGUGGUGCUGGUGCUUGUGGGAGCAGUGGUGCUGGUGCUUGUGGUUGCAGUGGUGCUGGUGCUCACUGGAGCAGUGGGGCUGGUGCUGGUGGGAACAGUGGUGCUUGUAGUUAUGGUAGCAAUUGCGCUCGUGCUCAUGAGUCCGGAUGUCUCAGGGCUUGUAGUAGCAGCGGUGCUGGUGCUCAAGGGAGAAGUUGUUAUUGUACUAGUAGGUCCGGGCAUCUCAGUGCUUGUGGUAGCAGUGUUGCUGGUACUCAUGGGAGCAGAGGCACUGGUGCUGGUGGGAGCAGUGGUGCUGGUACUCGUGGGAG